AAGUGGUACGCGAGCUGGGUUUAGAACGUCGUGAGACAGUUCGGUCCCUAUCUGCCGUGGGCGCUGGAGAAUUGAGGGGGGCUGCUCCUAGUACGAGAGGACCGGAGUGGACGCAUCACUGGUGUUCGGGUUGUCAUGCCAAUGGCACUGCCCGGUAGCUAAAUGCGGAAGAGAUAAGUGCUGAAAGCAUCUAAGCACGAAACUUGCCCCGAGAUGAGUUCUCCCUGAGACUUUAAGUCUCCUGAAGGAACGUUAAAGACGAUGACGUUGAUAGGCGGGUGUGUAAGCGCAGCGAUGCGUUGAGCUAACCGGUACUAAUGA
rnacentral:rRNA from 1 species